UACAGAGGGUGCGAGCGUGUUCGGAAUUAUUGGGCGUAAAGGGCGCGUAGGCGGUGCGGCAAGUCACCUGUGAAACCUCUGGGCUUAACCCAGAGCCUGCAGGCGAAACUGCCGUGCUGGAGUGUGGGAGAGGUGCGUGGAAUUCCCGGUGUAGCGGUGAAAUGCAUAGAUAUGACCCGGGAACACCCGAUUGCGAAGGCAGCCCACUAAGGCAAUGAUUGACGCUGAGGCACGAAAGCGUGGGGAGCAAACAGG
rnacentral:rRNA from 1 species